rnacentral:rRNA from 1 species
AGUGAACGCUGGCGGUAGGCCUAACACAUGCAAGUCGAACGGCAGCACAGUAAGAGCUUGCUCUUACGGGUGGCGAGUGGCGGACGGGUGAGGAAUAUAUCGGAAUCUACUUUUUCGUGGGGGAUAACGUAGGGAAACUUACGCUAAUACCGCAUACGACCUACGGGGGAAAGCAGGGGAUCUUCGGACCUUGCCCGAUUGAAUGAGCCGAUGUCGGAUUAGCUAGUUGGCGGGGUAAAGGCCCACCAAGGCGACGAUCCGUAGCUGGUCUGAGAGGAUGAUCAGCCACACUGGAACUGAGACACGGUCCAGACUCCUACGGGAGGCAGCAGUGGGGAAUAUUGGACAAUGGGCGCAAGCCUGAUCCAGCCAUGCCGCGUGGGUGAAGAAGGCCUUCGGAUUGUAAAGCCCUUUUGGUGGGAAAGAAAAGCAGCAGGUUAAUACCCCGCUGUUCUGACGGUACCCAAAGAAUAAGCACCGGCUAACUUCGUG